UACGUAGGGUGCAAGCGUUAAUCGGAAUUACUGGGCGUAAAGCGUGCGCAGGCGGUUUUGUAAGUCUGUCGUGAAAUCCCCGGGCUCAACCUGGGAAUUGCGAUGGAGACUGCAAGGCUAGAAUCUGGCAGAGGGGGGUAGAAUUCCACGUGUAGCAGUGAAAUGCGUAGAGAUGUGGAGGAACACCGAUGGCGAAGGCAGCCCCCUGGGUCAAGAUUGACGCUCAUGCACGAAAGGCGUGGGGGAGCAAACAGGAUUA
rnacentral:rRNA from 1 species